CCAACAGGGAUUGCCUCAGUAACGGCGAGUGAAGCGGCAACAGCUCAAAUUUGAAAUCUGAUCUCGCCGAGAUCCGAGUUGUAAUUUGCAGAGGGUGCUUCGGGCGAGGCGUGGGCCUAAGUUCCCUGGAACGGGACGUCAUAGAGGGUGAGAAUCCCGUCUGCGGCCCGCGACCGACCCCGUGUGAAGCCCCUUCGACGAGUCGAGUUGUUUGGGAAUGCAGCUCAAAAUGGGUGGUAAAUUUCAUCUAAAGCUAAAUAACAGCCGGAGACCGAUAGCGCACAAGUAGAGUGAUCGAAAGAUGAAAAGCACUUUGGAAAGAGAGUUAAACAGUACGUGAAAUUGUUGAAAGGGAAGCGCUUGCGACCAGACCUGCGUCCGGGCGAUCAGCCCCCGUUCUCCGGGGGUGCACUCGCCCGGCGGCAGGCCAGCAUCGGUUCGGGCGGCGGGAUAAACGCCGCGGGAACGUAGCUGCCUUCGGGCAGUCUUACAGCCCGCGGCCGCAUGCCGCCCGCUCGGACCGAGGGACGCGCUUCGGCGAGGAUGCUGGCGUAAUGGUCGUAAGCGGCCCGUCUUGAAACACGGACCAAGGAGUGGAACAACUAUGCGAGUGUUUGGGCGUUAAACCCACGCGCGGAAUGAAAGUGAACGGAGGUGAGAACCCGUCCGGGCGCAUCAUCGACCGAUCCGGAAGUUUACGGAUGGAUUUGAGUAAGAGCAUAGCUGUUCCGACCCGAAAGAUGAUGAACUAUGCCUGAAUAGGGUGAAGCCAGGGGAAACCCUGGUGGAGGCUCGCAGCGGUUCUGACGUGCAAAUCGAUCGUCAAAUUUGGGCAUAGGGGCGGCCUUUCGCCCCUGACGACCAGUCCUGCGGGGCAAGGCUCACGAUCUGCGGGGAUGCUCACGCCUGGGCUGCCCGCAGCCAGCCCGCCACGCGGCUGGCUUACAGAUCAAGCAUGGGCCGGCGUCCCCUCGGCCGGGGCGCUGGAAAUAUGAUCGGGCGGCGGCCGCCGAGGCCGCCGGCACCCGGAAAGACUAAUCGAAUCAUCUAGUAGCUGGUUCCUGUCGAAGUUUCCCUCAGGAUAGCAGUAACGUUUUCAGUUUUAUGAGGUAAAGCGAAUGAUUAGAGGCCUUAGGGGUGCAACACCCUUAACCUAUUCUCAAACUUUAAAUAUGUAAGAAGCCCUUGUUACUUUGUUGAACGUGGGCAUUCGAAUGUAUCGUUACUAGUGGGCCAUUUUUGGUAAGCAGAACUGGCGAUGCGGGAUGAACCGAACGCGAGGUUAAGGUGCCGGAGUGCACGCUCAUCAGACACCACAAAAGGUGUUAAUUCAUCCAGACAGCAGGACGGUGGCCAUGGAAGUCGGAAUCCGCUAAGGAGUGUGUAACAACUCACCUGCCGAAUGAAUUAGCCCUGAAAAUGGAUGGCGCUCAAGCGUGUCACCCAUACCUCGCCGCCAGGGUAGAUACGACGCCCUGGCGAGUAGGCAGGCGUGGAGGUCGGUGACGAAGCCUUGGGAGUGAUCCCGGGUCGAACGGCCUCCAGUGCAGAUCUUGG
rnacentral:rRNA from 1 species